CUCUAGCUUUGAAUAUACUUUGAAAUCAGGAAGCAUGGUGUCUCAAGCUUUGUUCUUCUAUCCCAAAUUGCUUUCGUUAUCUGGAGGAUUUC